GAUGAACGCUAGCGAUAGGCUUAACACAUGCAAGUCGAGGGGCAGCAUUAUUUUAGCUUGCUAAGAUAGAUGGCGACCGGCGGAUGGGUGCGUAACGCGUAUGCAACAUACCCCUUAUUAGGGAAUAACCCGGAGAAAUUCGGACUAAUGCUCUAUACUCUUCGUUUUUCACAUGGGGAAUGAAGGAAAGAUUUAUCGAUAAGGGAUUGGCCUGCGUUCCAUUAGGUAGUUGGUGAGGUAACGGCUCACCAAGCCGACGAUGGAUAGGGGAGCUGAGAGGCUAGACCCCCACACUGGGACUGAGACACGGCCCAG
rnacentral:rRNA from 1 species